rnacentral:rRNA from 1 species
CAGCAGCCGCGGUAAUACGUAGGGUGCGAGCGUUAAUCGGAUUUACUGGGCGUAAAGCGUGCGCAGGCGGCCCGUUAAGACAGGUGUGAAAUCCCUGGGCUCAACCUAGGAAUUGCGCUUGUGACUGGCGGGCUCGAGUACGGUAGAGGGGGGUGGAAUUCCUGGUGUAGCAGUGAAAUGCGUAGAGAUCAGGAGGAACACCGAUGGCGAAGGCAGCCCCCUGGGCCUGUACUGACGCUCAUGCACGAAAGCGUGGGGAGCAAACAGGAUUAGAUACCCUGGUAGUCCACGCCCCAAACGAUGGGUACUAGCCGUUUGGUGCGCGAUAGCGCUGAGUGGCGAAGCUAACGCGUGAAGUACCCCGCCUGGGGAGUACGGCCGCAAGGUUGAAACUUAAAGGAAUUGGCGGG